rnacentral:rRNA from 1 species
UACGUAGGGUGCAGGCGUAAUCGGAAUUACUGGGCGUAAAGCGUGCGCAGGCGGUUUGCUAAGACAGGUGUGAAAUCCCCGGGCUUAACCUGGGAACUGCGCUUGUAACUGGCAAGCUUGAGUGUGGCAGAGGGGGGUGGAAUUCCACGUGUAGCAGUGAAAUGCGUAGAGAUGUGGAGGAACACCGAUGGCGAAGGCAGCCCCCUGGGCUAACACUGACGCUCAUGCACGAAAGCGUGGGGAGCAAACAGG